GGGCGUGUGCCCCAGUCCCUGGUGGCUCCCAGCCUGGCUAACCCCAUUCUGCCUGCAACAAAGAUCCCUUGAGGAUCCGGUCCUGCCCCGGCCAUGGAGCAGGUAAUUAUCUGCGCCCCAGGAUUGCAGGGUGCUUUCCACACUCCACCCCAGAGGCAGCUGCAUUUCUCUGCUGGAACUGAGGGGAGCCAGCUGUGCUCCACCCCAGAAGCCGCCGCAUCUCUGCAGGAGGCACUCUCGGCGGUUAGGUAGCUUCCUACGUGUCCCAGUCGCCAGGGCUGGGUAAGUCGCUCGAGUGAGUCAGGGCUUCUCUGAGGUUGGUUCUCCGCCCGCCCCGCCCCCCAGUCUCUCACACACACCCUGUGGGGGGGGGGGUGCCGCCCAUGUGCAGGGUUUUGAUGCCAGAGUCCUUCCCACCCCCUUGCACUUUGCCAAUCCCGCAAGGAAAACACCAACUGCAAGCUGCACCCAGAUACCUCGCUCCAGUGGCUUCGCUCUCUCUGGGGCGGUGAAUGUGGCUCAAAGUGAGGGGGGGAAGAACCCAGGCGUCCUGGCUCCCAGCCCCCUCCCUUGUUCUAACCACCAGCCCCCACUCCCUUCCCAGAGCCGGAGGCUAGAACCCAGGCGUCCUGGCUCCCAGCCCCCUGCUUGGAGCGACUCUCCGCUGACUGACCUCCUGUCUUUCCAUGCAGCUCACGGCCUCGUUUGCAGGGUCUGCGAGUUCCAGGUGGGCAAGCUCUGCUUCCGCUCCCGCAGCCCCUGCAAGGCGCAGGGGCAGCAAGUCUGUGAGACCACCAAGGCCUACAUUGGCAAGGUCCCGCUUUUCUCCAAGUACGGCUGCAGCCGGACCCGCGAGACCUGCAACAUGACGGAGCAGAAGGACACCGUCUUCGAGGUCAGCUACAAUCGGACCUGCUGCGAGACAGACCUGUGCAAUGCUGCUGGCCCCGCCCAGGCAGCCGGGCUUCCCCUGCUCUCUGGGCUGGGAGCCCUGCUGGGGUGGUGGUUGCUGAAAUAACCCCCGGCUCUCCUCUUCCCGGCCCUAGCCUCCACACCCUCUCUGCUACACGCUUUUCCCUCCUGGGUCCUCCUUGCCACACGCUUAAUUAGCAGGCUCCACUCCACCCCCUCAAGUCACCUUUUCCUCUGGUCUUCUUCCACCAAGCCUAUUGCCUUCUCCCUGGUCUUCUCUAUCCCACAUGUAGCUGCCUCCUUUCCUUUCCCAUGUCCUCUGUAGGUCUGCCACAGCCUAGGAAGGGGACCAGGGAAAGCCAGCUACUACAGGCAGGAUAGGGGGGUACCUCAGCCCCCCUGAAUCUGCCACCUGCCUUCUGAAGGGUUUUGAUGCGCGCACACACACACUCUGAGAAUCUAAUCUCAUCUUCUGGCCUGUGUCUCGAAGGGGUGAAGUGAUGACCGACCCUGAGCUAAAGCAGAGACACUGUCUAUUUUAGACACAACACUGGAGGGGGGGGGGGUCGUUCUCCCUAGAAGCUUCUGCAAACCCUAGCUCAGGACAGGUCUGAAUACCUCAUGGGCAGAAGACCAUCCUCGGCUUUUCCACAGAGGCUGGCGGGACAAAACCCUGUGGUCCUAUGGUUGAGUUGGAGGCAGCUGUACCCCUCCCCCCCAAUCUCUCUUGCUCGCCCACAGUUCUCCUGAAGCCAUGUCCCCCAAGCUGAGAAGCAUAGGCAGCUCCUUACCCCCACUGGAGAACAAAGGUCCCAGAUCUUUGUCCCAGACAUUAGACAGUGGGUUGGUUUGGGGUCUUCUGUGGUAUCUCAAGACCUGUGGGAAGCUGAUGGAUAAUUGAGUCCUUUAGGCCUGAGCAGAGGGUGAAAUUGUGGAGCCGAGCAGUUCCACACCACUUGUUCCCAUGGGGAACAGACGCUCUAAAUCUCCAGCGGAGACCAGGUGGCCUUUGCAUAAUCACUUGUGAGCCCUCCCAGGGCAUGCCGGUGAGAUGACACAGCUGGAGAAGGAUAAAGGCUGGCUACAGAGGCAUAAACCCACCGGGU
ensembl:lncRNA